CUGAAUCUGUCAAUUCGCAUGCGUUAUACUUGUUCUGUUAUGCUUAUGAUUGGGCUACAAGUUUGUUUGCGUUGCUAUUUACUAACUCAUGGCUAUUCUUUUCAGUGGAUUCAAUUGCCAUUAGUCCCAUUCGAUCGAGGAAAGUCGAGUCCAUUUGAUUUUUCAGAUUCGAGGACGAAUCUUUUUGAGGAAGGGGGGAAUGAUACGAGUCUCAAAGGCCCAACCCAAGCCCAAACAAGAAGACAAACCAUGCUUACUUGAAAUCAGGCCAAAUUGUUAAAGUG
rnacentral:lncRNA from 1 species